UCUUGUUCCAACUAUACCCGACAUGGUUACAGUUGGAACAAAAAAGCUUCUUGUGUUUAUGAGCUACACUGUAAAAAAACAAUUUGUUGAGUCAACUUAAAAUAAUUUGUAACCUGGCUGCCUUAAAAUUUUAAGUUCAGUUAACUCAAAAAAUGUUUAUUCAACUUUACCCGUCUGUUAAGUUUAGCAAACACAAAUAUCUAAGUUGUUACAUUUCAAGUUGACUAAACUUAUUUUAGUUGACUGAACUUAAAAUUUUAAGGCAGCAGGGUAACAAAUUAUUUUAAGCUGACUCAACAAAUUGUGUUUUUUAUUUUUUACAGUGUAAUUGUGGCAAAUAUGACCUGCUUAUGGAUGUUAAUAAUUAUUAAUAUUUUUGUAGACAAGUAAAAGAAAUGUCAUUAAAAAUCACUUCUUUUCAGUCCCUAGUUUUGGUGUGGUAACGGAAAAAAGUGUACCAAUAAACAAAUAACAGGUGAAGAGGUGAAGCACACAUAUGUAUGCAUGUGUAUAAACAUGAUGAUAUUAACAAAAAUGCCCCAAAACAAAACCGGACAGUACUCUCCCAUUGUUUCCUGUUGGAGGAUAUUGCACAAUAGCUGUGGCCUAAUAGGGUGGUCGGCCCUCCCUACCAUGUUGUUUUGGCCGAUACCUGCCGUGCGACUGGCUGGGACUGGCUGAUUGUAACCUCAAGUCUUAAAAGCGAACAGAGGGAGACAGGAAGAAGACAGAACGUUCCAGGAUACUGUGAACUUUAUUUUACUGGAGGAGGGGUUGGAGGAGCAUGCAGGCACUAAGCUAAAGGACACAGAGAGAGCAGCUUGCAAGUGCGGCUUGUUCUUUUGGUGGUUUUGCAGACAAACAUCUGAUGAAGUGUAACCAGCCAGUCAGUGAUUUAUCCAGAUGAACUGGAUGAUUUUUUCUGCACAGGCGCCAGACAUACAGAGUGUUCUGCUGUUCUGACAUUUCCACAUUCAUGUUUAAAUCAUGCUUUCUAAUAAUUGUUCCCAUACAUACAUAUAUAUAUUUUUUUUCUUUUUUUGCAGUAUAGUGGUCUGCUGAUGCAUAAUUGCAAUGUUCAAGUAUACAAGAAAAAAGAAAAAGAAAAAAACUUUUCUGAAAAUGUAUAUACCCUCAGGCAAUCCAAGAUGGUAGUUUGUUUCUUAAUCAGAACAUUUGGAGAAAUUUAGCAGUACAUCACUUGCUCACCAAUGGAUCCUCUGCAGUGAAUGGGUGCCGUCAAUAUGAGAGUCCAAACUGCUGAUAAAAAUGUCACAAUAAUCCACAAGUAAUCUACACCACUUCAGUCCAUCGAUGAACAUCUUGUGAAGCGAAAAGCUGUGUGUUUUAGGAAACAACUUCUAACUUCAAACAAUUGCUUACUGCUAAAAUUCUAUAACCCAUAUUGUUUUUUUUUUCAGGAGAGAAAUAUCCACAGCUCAAGCACCGUUUACAAGUGAAAACAGUCCAAAACAUCUCUAAAAAAUAUGUUGGUGAAUUUUGCUGUGAGAGGACAACAGGGGAUGGACUUUUUCACUGGAGGAGGCGUUAUUAUGGAUUAUGAACUUGUAUUUUGGCCUGAAGUGAUGGUUUGAAGCUGUUUGGACUCUCAUUCUGAUGGCACCCAUUCACUGCAGAGGGUCCAUUGGUGAGCAAGUGAUGUACUGCUACAUUUCUCCAAAUCUGAUGAAGAAACAAACUCAUCUACACAUGGGAUGACCUGAGGAAAGCUGAAGUCAGCUGCCUGGCACUGGACCCUGAUCAGAAUGUGCUGGCCGGGUGAGAUCACUCGCUCCAACGAUCCUGCAUUCCUCUGCUGCGCUGUCAGUGCAUUCCAGACGUGAAUGGUGGGACGCCUCUUAUGACUGCACACAGUUCAGCCUGUCAUACCUGUACUCUGACCUCACUAUAAGAUGGGACUGCGAUCCGGAGUAUGUCAUCAUGCUCAAAAUAGAAACUGAGAGCUUCUGUUUCCCUACUAACCCUGAUGGAUUUUUGUAGAAGGCACACAGACAUAUGCACAUGCUCCUUGGGUACAUGGUUUCAUUUUUAUGCAACUGCAUCUAAUUCAUGUCUAUAUAAGGACUUUUUAUUUAUUUAUUUAUUUUGCACUGUGACAUUUUUAUUUUACUGACAACCCCAGAUGUACUGUUUUAAUUUUCUGAUUAUUCAUAUUAAAUUCUACAAUGCAGUAUAUGUAUGUCUUUUAAAAUUGUAUUAUUGAUUGAUUGAUUGACUGACUGAUUGUUCAUUUGUUUAUGCAUUUAUUUAUUUAUUAAUAUAAGCAGGAUUUCCAGCAGAAUGGGUGGUCGCUUAGUUGUGAACCUAUUAAAAAGUAAACGUAUUAUUGUUAUCCAUUUAAAUAGAUCUAUGACCUAAGCACAUUAACAUAGUAGGCUA